UUGAACGCUGGCGGCAUGCCUUACACAUGCAAGUCGAACGGUAGAGUAGCAAUACUCGAGAGUGGCGAACGGGUGAGUAAUAUAUCGGAACGUGCCCAGUCGUGGGGGAUAACGUAGAGAAAUUUACGCUAAUACCGCAUAUUCUGUGAGCAGGAAAGCAGGGGAUCGCAAGACCUUGCGCUUUAGGAGCGGCCGAUGUCGGAUUAGCUAGUUGGUGAGGUAAAGGCUCACCAAGGCGACGAUCCGUAGCGGGUCUGAGAGGAUGAUCCGCCACACUGGGACUGAGACACGGUCCAGACUCCUACGGGAGGCAGCAGUGGGGAAUUUUGGACAAUGGGCGCAAGCCUGAUCCAGCCAUGCCGCGUGAGUGAAGAAGGCCUUCGGGUUGUAAAGCUCUUUCGGCGGGGAAGAAAUCGCACGGGUUAAUACCUCGUGUGGAUGACGGUACCCGAAUAAGAAGCACCGGCUAACUACGU
rnacentral:rRNA from 1 species